rnacentral:rRNA from 1 species
GAAGCAGCCAUCAUUUAAAGAGUGCGUAAUAGCUCACUAGUCGAGUGACACUGCGCCGAAAAUGUACCGGGGCUAAACAUAUUACCGAAGCUGUGGAUUGUCCUUUGGACAAUGGUAGGAGAGCGUUCUAAGGGCGUUGAAGCAUGAUCGUAAGGACAUGUGGAGCGCUUAGAAGUGAGAAUGCCGGUGUGAGUAGCGAAAGACGGGUGAGAAUCCCGUCCACCGAUUGACUAAGGUUUCCAGAGGAAGGCUCGUCCGCUCUGGGUUAGUCGGGUCCUAAGCUGAGGCCGACAGGCGUAGGCGAUGGAUAACAGGUUGAUAUUCCUGUACCACCUAUAAUCGUUUUAAUCGAUGGGGGGACGCAGUAGGAUAGGCGAAGCGUGCGAUUGGAUUGCACGUCUAAGCAGUAAGGCUGAGUAUUAGGCAAAUCCGGUACUCGUUAAGGCUGAGCUGUGAUGGGGAGAAGACAUUGUGUCUUCGAGUCGUUGAUUUCACACUGCCGAGAAAAGCCUCUAGAUAGAAAAUAGGUGCCCGUACCGCAAACCGACACAGGUAGUCAAGAUGAGAAUUCUAAGGUGAGCGAGCGAACUCUCGUUAAGGAACUCGGCAAAAUGACCCCGUAACUUCGGGAGAAGGGGUGCUCUUUAGGGUUAACGCCCAGAAGAGCCGCAGUGAAUAGGCCCAAGCGACUGUUUAUCAAAAACACAGGUCUCUGCUAAACCGUAAGGUGAUGUAUAGGGGCUGACGCCUGCCCGGUGCUGGAAGGUUAAGAGGAGUGGUUAGCUUCUGCGAAGCUACGAAUCGAAGCCCCAGUAAACGGCGGCCGUAACUAUAACGGUCCUAAGGUAGCGAAAUUCCUUGUCGGGUAAGUUCCGACCCGCACGAAAGGCGUAACGAUUUGGGCACUGUCUCAACGAGAGACUCGGUGAAAUCAUAGUACCUGUGAAGAUGCAGGUUACCCGCGACAGGACGGAAAGACCCCGUGGAGCUUUACUGUAGCCUGAUAUUGAAAUUCGGCACAGCUUGUACAGGAUAGGUAGGAGCCUUUGAAACGUGAGCGCUAGCUUACGUGGAGGCGCUGGUGGGAUACUACCCUAGCUGUGUUGGCUUUCUAACCCGCACCACUUAUCGUGGUGGGAGACAGUGUCAGGCGGGCAGUUUGACUGGGGCGGUCGCCUCCUAAAAGGUAACGGAGGCGCUCAAAGGUUCCCUCAGAAUGGUUGGAAAUCAUUCAUAGAGUGUAAAGGCAUAAGGGAGCUUGACUGCGAGACCUACAAGUCGAGCAGGGUCGAAAGACGGACUUAGUGAUCCGGUGGUUCCGCAUGGAAGGGCCAUCGCUCAACGGAUAAAAGCUACCCCGGGGAUAACAGGCUUAUCUCCCCCAAGAGUUCACAUCGACGGGGAGGUUUGGCACCUCGAUGUCGGCUCAUCGCAUCCUGGGGCUGUAGUCGGUCCCAAGGGUUGGGCUGUUCGCCCAUUAAAGCGGUACGCGAGCUGGGUUCAGAACGUCGUGAGACAGUUCGGUCCCUAUCCGUCGUGGGCGUAGGAAAUUUGAGAGGAGCUGUCCUUAGUACGAGAGGACCGGGAUGGACAUACCUCUGGUGUACCAGUUGUCGUGCCAACGGCAUAGCUGGGUAGCUAUGUGUGGACGGGAUAAGUGCUGAAAGCAUCUAAGCAUGAAGCCCCCCUCAAGAUGAGAUUUCCCAACUUCGGUUAUAAGAUCCCUCAAAGAUGAUGAGGUUAAUAGGUUCGAGGUGGAAGCAUGGUGACAUGUGGAGCUGACGAAUACUAAUCGAUCGAAGACUUAAUCAA